CAGGGAUUACCUCAGUAACGGCGAGUGAAGCGGUAACAGCUCAAAUUUGAAAUCUGGCGCUUUCAGCGUCCGAGUUGUAAUUUGUAGAAGAUGCUUUGGGUGUGGCUCCGGUCUAAGUUCCUUGGAACAGGACGUCAUAGAGGGUGAGAAUCCCGUAUGUGACUGGCUGCCUUCGCCUAUGUAAAGCUCUUUCGACGAGUCGAGUUGUUUGGGAAUGCAGCUCUAAAUGGGAGGUAUAUUUCUUCUAAAGCUAAAUAUUGGCCAGAGACCGAUAGCGCACAAGUAGAGUGAUCGAAAGAUGAAAAGCACUUUGGAAAGAGAGUUAAACAGUACGUGAAAUUGUUGAAAGGGAGCGCUUGCAACCAGACUUGCCUGCGGUCGAUCAUCCUGGGUUUUCCCUGGUGCACUCGAUCGUGGUCAGGCCAGCAUCGGUUUCGGUGGUGGGAUAAAGGCCUUGGGAAUGUAGCAGUCUUCGGGCUGUGUUAUAGCCCUCGGUGCAAUGCCGCCUACCGGGACCGAGGACCGCGCUUCGGCUAGGAUGCUGGCGUAAUGGUUGUAAGCGACCCGUCUUGAAACACGGACCAAGGAGUCUAACAUCUAUGCGAGUGUUUGGGUGUUAAACCCAUACGCGUAAUUAACGUGAACGGAGGUGAGAACCCUUAAGGGUGCAUCAUCGACCGAUCCUGAUGUCUUCGGAUGGAUUUGAGUAAGAGCAUAGCUGUUGGGACCCGAAAGAUGGUGAACUAUGCCUAAAUAGGGUGAAGCCAGAGGAAACUCUGGUGGAGGCUCGCAGCGGUUCUGACGUGCAAAUCGAUCGUCAAAUUUGGGUAUAGGGGCGAAAGACUAAUCGAACCAU
rnacentral:rRNA from 1 species